rnacentral:misc_RNA from 1 species
GAGAAGAACGCAGCGAAAUGCGAUAAGUAGUGUGAAUUGCAGAAUUCAGUGAAUCAUCGAAUCUUUGAACGCACAUUGCGCCCCUUGGUAUUCCAUGGGGCAUGCCUGUUCGAGCGUCAUUUGUACCCUCAAGCUUUGCUUGGUGUUGGGUGUUUGUCCCGCGUUGCGCGUGGACUCGCCUUAAAGCGAUUGGCAGCCGGCAUAUUGGCCUUGGAGCGCAGCACAUUUUGCGCUUCUAGUCAUGAAUGUUGGCGUCCAUUAAGCCUAUACAUUUGCUCUUGACCUCGGAUCAGGUAGGGAUACCCGCUGAACUUAAGCAUAUCAAUAAGCGGAGGA